CCUCAUGUUCUUACUAUGUUACAAAGUGUAAAAACACCAAAUCCAAAGCAAGAGGCAAGGACACGGGUGCAUAACUGGGGAGCAGAGAAAAAGGAGAAGCAGGCGUUGCCAUGAUUUGAUUUCCUGAGAAGAGGGAAAGAUGUGUUGCUCCCCGGGAGUCCCUCAUCUGAGAAGCAUGGCUCUUCCUAACCUAAAACGCCCUCAUGACCUCAUAAGACGCCACUGAACUCAUGCGGGUGGCUGUUUAGUGAUUAAUCAUCCCAGGUGAUGGGGACCCCACACUACUACUAAUGACGUGAUGACAGAUGACGCUUAUUGGACGUGUCAGGCAUUGUUCUAGGACUUUACCUUUACUAAUUGAUUAAUCCUCCAACACAACUCUGUGAGGUCUGUGGGGCAGCUGGGGCAGCUCUGCUCUGGGCCACAGAUUGAGUUCGGGUCUACUCUACGUCUCUCCCAUUUUCCUUGGAUCAGCAGCUACCCAGGACAGUUCUUCUUGUGGUAGAGAACAGAAGCACAAGAGGCCAAGGCAAACUACAGAAGCACGUAUACAGUCUCUGCUCGUGUCCUGUCCACUGACAUUUUAUUGGCCAAAAUAAGUCAUAUGCCAAGUCCAGCAGCAGUGGAUGGGGAAAUAUACUCUGAUCUCUCCAGUGGGAGGCACUGUAGAGCAACCUGGCAAAGACUGGAUGCAUUCCAAGGUGGUAGAGAAGAAUCGGGAUCAUCCAUUCCCAUCACAAACUCCCUCCAUUUUGAUAUUGCCCUUCUCUUUCACAAAAAGGAGAAAAUAACUAUAUAAAAAGGCCAUUUCAAAGAUUUCUGCACAAAUUUUCUAAAAGCUAUUUCCAGAAGUUACCAGAAUUGGUAAGAUUUCAUCCCAUCUCCUCCCUGUAGGUCCAGUUUCAUGGGACUUGUGCAGGAGCACAGGGCCCCACCCUCAGAAAGACCCUGUGCAUGGUUUAACACUCUGCUGUCACCGUCGUGACGUUCUUAAUAAUUUUUGCACAAGGGGCCCAGCGUUUUCAUUUUGCACUGGCCCCCACAAAUUAUGUAGCCAGUCCUGCCUACACAUGCUAUAUUUAUUGUCCCAGAGAUGAGAAUUAAUGCUCAGAAUGGCAACCCUGAGACCUACAGAUUCCAGAAUGACCCAAAAUUCAAUUACAAUUACCAUGUUCUUUCAUUUGUUCAACAUGUUUAUUGGGUGCUGUUAUAAUUCUAGCUUUUAGAGGUAAAACCAUGAACUAACAAGCCCAGAACUCACGGAGUUUACAUCGUGCCAUACUUCCUGUGGUCCACCCACUGGACAGAUGACUUUUAUUUACAGCUACUAAGGGGAAAUCAGAUGAAGAGACUCAUAGCAGAGUGUGCCAGUGAUGACGGAUGUUGGGGCCACAGGCAACCCCAGGAGUCAGCGGAACUCUGUCGAUCCUGAUCUCUUCUCCUCAAGGAAGCAAAUCAGAAUGCAAGUGGCUGUGAUGACAUCAACCACUACAAGGGGAAGAAAAAGAAACAACAGGAAAUUCUGCGUUCAGCUAUUAACUGAUAAAUGAAGGAGGAACUGGCUUUUAAAGUCUUCAACUGAUUGGAUGAGGCCCACCCACACUAUGGAAGCUGAGUCCAGGCCAUGAGAAAUCCAAGAUGAAGGCAGAGAGCUGCUUCUUUGGAUGACCAAAGGGGGUUACCGAAGUGGAGAACAGAAUCUGUGGUGGCGUAUGGAACGGCCGUCAUUCAUUCACCCGACAAUGAUGUAUUGAAGGCUUAGUAUGGCAGGAACUAGGCUAACCAGGCACUGGUGGGUAAAACAGAGAGAUAAGCAGCCCUCCCAGAGCUUGCUGCCGAGUGAGAAGCAAACAUGAAACAAUCAAUCACGCCCAUAAGUGUAAAACUGCAGUCUCGGUAAGAGAUGCGGCAGCAAGAACACAGAGCUGGACCACCUAUAAGGGAUUUACCUUAAUGGGGAAGGUAGGCAGCUGUUGCUGGAGUUUAGAUCUGAAGGAUACGCUGGGCAAGAGGGAAGGAAGUGUGUUCCUGGCAGAGGGAGCAGCAUAAACACAGGGGCUGCAGUCAGAGAAGGGGGGAGUGUGCAAGACGACUCCAGAAAAAUGACCAGGCCAUGCAGGGUUUGGGUCUUCAUCCUAAAUGGGUCUUUAGGCUGUUAAAGUCCCUAUUACUUGACAAUUCCACUCUUAGGCAUUUACCCAAGAGAAAUGAAAACUUAUGUCCCCAAAAGACUUAACACGAAUAUUCAUAGCAGCCUUAAAAUAGCCUAAAACUGGAAAUAAUACAAAUGUCCAUCAACAAGAGAAUGGAUAAAUAAAUUACAGUAUAUUCAUACUCAAUUGAAAGGAAUGAACACACAACAACACAGAAUACUCUCAAAAAGAUUAUGCUGAGUAAAAUAGCCAGACAUAAAAACAUCUAUACUGUAUAUUUGUAUGAAAUCCAAAACCAGGCAAAACUAAUCUAUGGCGAUAAAAAUCAGAAAGUGGCUGGUUCUGGGUGUGGGGGCCAGGCAGGGGGUGACAUGACUGGAAAAGGGGAGCAAGGGAGCUUUCCGAGGUGAUAGCGAUGUUUUGUGUCUUCUUUGGGGGGGUGAUUUCAGAGGCACAUCCAAUUAUCAAAACUCCUCAAACUGGACUAAAGAUCUUGUUUUAGAUUUUUUAUAAUAUAUAUCAAAAAUUUUUUUUAAGUACAAUACACACAUUAAAGUGUUUUAAGCACAGGACAUCAGAUUUGCAUUGUGAAAAGAGCCCCUGGCUGUGGUCUGGAGAAGGAUAAGAAGAGGCCAGAAGGGAAGUGGGUAGACCAGUUCCUCUGCUUUAUGUGAAUUACCUAGAAGCCAGCAUACCCCUGAGCACCAAAGCGUAUCAGCCCGUCACCUGCCUUUAACACAGAAUUCAGACCUCUCCUUGCUGACCUCCUCUAGGAAUUGUGCAAAACAGUUGUCAAUGGACGGCAAAGGGAAUUUAGCUGGGAAACUGGGGCAAGAGACUAAAGAAACCACAGACAAAGGAGAGAAAUUGAACCAAACUUCUAUUACGUAGACUCUUUCAAGGCAGGAAUCUGUUGAAUGCUUUCUUACGUUCUCAUCCCUACAUCUACAGUUUUCUUCUGAAAUAAGAAGUCUAGCAGGCUGGAACUGGUCGAUGCAAUAGGAAGGCAAAAAUUACCUUUUGCCCAUAGUUGGAAUGAACAGAAUUUAAAUGAGAUAACAUAGAACCAGCUUAUGUCUCAAAAAAAAAAACCAAGCGGGCAGUAUUAUGCAAUGAAAGAGGGUGUGAGACAGGAGCACUGGAUUGUGGAAUGAUGUGUAGGAUCGUAAGGAUUUAUCCUAGACCCCAGUACAAAGUCAGAAAGGCACUUGCUGAAUAUUGAAAAGAAACACAGAAUCAAAGCAUUUUAGAGCUGGAAAGGAUUGUUAGAGGGCAUUUCAGCCUACACAUUUCAUAGAUGAAAUGCAGAGGUAAAAGGACCAAAUUACCCAGGAUUUGAUUAGCACUUUACCAAGUACUUCCACAUUUAUUGCCUCAUUAAAUCCUCAUAAAGUGCUGGCAAAUAGCAAUUAUUAAUUCUUCUAUUCAGAAGAAGAAAUUGGGGCUCAGAGAGUAAAGCAGAAAAGCAAAUUCCCUCUAAUGUUUGAGCUUCUCCUCUGCUUCCAGGGCAUGCCACUAGAUCACAGUUCCCAGCUCUCCUGCAUUUGGAGGGUGGGCCAACAGAGUUCCAGCCAAUGGAAUGUGGCAGAAGCCCGCUCCAGGGCUGGCCACUAAGACCUAGCAUACAAUCCUUUGUUUUCACAGCCUUAAAAUAGCGUAAAACUGGAAACAAUACAAGUGUCCAUCAACAAGAGAAUGGAUAAAUAAAUUGCAGUAUAGUCAUACUCAGUACUCCUCUACCUGCCAUCUAGAUGCAUAAGAUCCAGUAGAGCAGUACGAGGCCCCAAGGGAUGGUGAAGCCACCACUUGGCUGGAGCCUGGGUCCCUGAAUGACUCUGUGGAGCAGAGAUGUUUUCUCCCAUUCACUGACCUGAGUUAGACUGUGACGGGAGUGAGAAACAAACCUGUAUUGUGUCCAGGCACUGAGGUCUUGAUGGUGGUUGUACCAGUUAGCUUAACUAACAUAGAAAGGUUAAGGGACUCAGGCAAAAUCCAUAUAUUAAUUUGUUUCACAAAAAUCUAUUGAGCACCUAUUAUAUGUCUCAGAUACUGUGCUUGGCACUGGGUGUACAUCAAUGAAUUAAGACAGCUCUGGGCUGUGCCCUCCUGGGGUUUAUAUCUGGUGAGCUCACACAGUAUGGACAGGGCUAGGAUCCAAAUGAAAAUCUGCUAACUCUAAAUGUCUUCCGUUUUUCUACUUUGCAUACUUCCUCCCAAAUAAUCUGAAUCAAAAUGUAUGACAUUCCUCAAAGAUCACCUUGAAAAAUAGAAGAUUUGUCCUACCAUGUGAGUUACAGGAUGGAGAAAACGAGGUAGGGGUUGUUUGUUAAUCUUCUAUGUUCCUCAAGACCUAAGAAGGCCCAGCCCUGGUAAAAGUCGCUGUAUUGUAGAGCCUUAGUCAGUAGAAGGGACUGGAAAACCAUUGUUUUCAUAUAUUUAAAUUUUCAGUUAUUUAAGGAUUAAACUAAAACAUGAAUUUCAA